AUGAACGCUAGCGGCAGGCUUAACACAUGCAAGUCGAGGGGCAUCGGGAGUAGCAAUACUUGCCGGCGACCGGCGCAAGGGUGCGUAACGCGUGAGCAACAUGCCCGUAUCAGGGGGAUAAUCCAUGGAAACGUGGUCUAAUACCCCAUAGUAAUUAUGUAAGGCAUCUUAUAUAAUUUAAAGCUUUGGUGGAUACGGAUUGGCUCGCGUGACAUUAGCUGGAUGGUAAGGUAACGGCUUACCAUGGCUACGAUGUCUAGGGGUUCUGAGAGGAAGGUCCCCCACACUGGAACUGAGGCACGGUCCAGACUCCUACGGGAGGCAGCAGUGAGGAAUAUUGGACAAUGGAUGGAAAUCUGAUUCAGCCAUGCCGCAUGCAGGAAGAACCGGCCCUAUGGGUUGUAAACUGCUUUUGUAUGGGAGCAAUAAGGGCUACGUGUAGUCCGAUGAGAGUACCAUACGAAUAAGCACCGGCUAACUCCGUGCCAGCAGCAGC
rnacentral:rRNA from 1 species